GCUUUCUGGCAGAUCUGUGGGAACUCAUUUGGGACUCUAACCCUGAAUAAGCACAGAAGUGCAAUGGACAUGAGACACAAACUUACUUUUUCAUAAACCUGAGGCUGCCACUAGCAGACACAUGAGACUAAACAUAUCCCUGGCAAACAAGUACCUGAGCAUUUAAGCAUCCAGCAUGAAACGCAAGGGACUUUAUUACAGCCAGGGUGCAAGCCGAC